AUGCUUAUCUGGCAGGGGAGAUACCCAAUCACAAAGGUGUUUUUCCCAGGGCAAGGUUUAUCCAUUGCACUCCACGAAUGUGUUGACCCCUGCAAUUUUUCCAAAUGCAGGAAACUUUAUUGCAUAAUUUGUGGUAGUGGGGGAUUGUGUUUGCACUGUCCCCUG